rnacentral:rRNA from 2 species
AGGCGUGAUCAUACCAUCAUAAUGCACAAGAUCCAAUCAAAAAUCUGUACCUAAGUGUGCUUGGACAAAAGUAGUACUAGGAUGGGUGACCUCCUAGGAUGUCCUUGUGUUACACCUC